GACGAACGCUGGCGGCGUGCUUAACACAUGCAAGUCGAACGAUGAAGCUCUUCGGAGCGGAUUAGUGGCGAACGGGUGAGUAACACGUGGAUAAUCUGCCUUGCACUUCGGGAUAAGCCUGGGAAACUGGGUCUAAUACCGGAUAUGACUUAAGAAAGCAUUUUCUUAAGUGGAAAGUUUUUUCGGUGCAAGAUGAGUCCGCGGCCUAUCAGUUUGUUGGUGAGGUAAAAGCUCACCAAGACGAUGACGGGUAGCCGGCCUGAGAGGGCGAACGGCCACACUGGGACUGAGAUACGGCCCAGACUCCUACGGGAGGCAGCAGUGGGGAAUAUUGCACAAUGGGCGAAAGCCUGAUGCAGCGACGCCGCGUGGGGGAUGAAGGUCUUCGGAUUGUAAACCCCUUUCGGCAGGGACGAAGCGCAAGUGACGGUACCUGCAGAAGAAGCACCGGCCAACUACGUGCCAGCAGCCGCGGUAAUACGUAGGGUGCGAGCGUUGUCCGGAAUUACUGGGCGUAAAGAGCUUGUAGGCGGCCUAUUGCGUCGUGGGUGGAAUUUCACAGCUCAACUGUGAAAUUGCCCACGAUACGGGUAGGCUAGAGUGUUUCAGGGGAGAUUGGAACUCCUAGUGUAGCGGUGGAAUGCAUAGAUAUUAGGAAGAACACCAAUGGCGAAGGCAGAUCUCUGGGAAACAACUGACGCUGAGAAGCGAAAGCGUGGGGAGCAAACAGGCUUAGAUACCCUGGUAGUCCACGCUGUAAACGGUGGGUACUAGGUGUAGGUUUCGUUCCACGAAAUCUGUGCCGUAGCUAACGCAUUAAGUACCCCGCCUGGGGAGUACGGUCGCAAGGCUAAAACUCAAAGGAAUUGACGGGGGCCCGCACAAGCGGCGGAGCAUGUGGAUUAAUUCGAUGCAACGCGAAGAACCUUACCUGGGAUUGAUAUUUACUGGAAAGCUGUAGAGAUACAGCCCCCCUUGUGGUCAGUAAACAGGUGGUGCAUGGCUGUCGUCAGCUCGUGUCGUGAGAUGUUGGGUUAAGUCCCGCAACGAGCGCAACCCUUGUCUCAUGUUGCCAGCACGUAAUGGUGGGGACUCGUGAGAGACUGCCGGGGUCAACUCGGAGGAAGGUGGGGACGACGUCAAGUCAUCAUGCCCUUCGGCCCAGGGCUUCACACAUGCUACAAUGGUCGAUACAGAGGGUCGCGAUACCGUAAGGUGGAGCUAAUCUCUUAAAGUCGACCUCAGUUCGGAUUGGGGUCUGCAACUCGACCCCAUGAAGUCGGAGUCGCUAGUAAUCGCAGAUCAGCAACGCUGCGGUGAAUACGUUCCCGGGCCUUGUACACACCGCCCGUCACGUCAUGAAAGUCGGCAACACCCGAAGCUGGUAGUCUAACCCUUUAUGGGAGGACGCUGUCUAAGGUGGGGUCGGCGAUUGGGACGAAGUCGUAACAAGGUACCCGUA
rnacentral:rRNA from 1 species